rnacentral:rRNA from 1 species
GACGAACGCUGGCGGCGUGCUUAACACAUGCAAGUCGAACGGUGAAGGGAUCAGCUUGCUGGUUCUGGAUGAGUGGCGAACGGGUGAGUAACACGUGAGUAACCUGCCCCCUUCUUCUGGAUAACCGCAUGAAAGUGUGGCUAAUACGGGAUAUUCUGCGCCUGCUGCAUGGUGGGUGUGGGAAAGAUAUUGUUUCGGUGGGGGAUGGGCUCGCGGCCUAUCAGCUUGUUGGUGGGGUGAUGGCCUACCAAGGCGGUGACGGGUAGCCGGCCUGAGAGGGUGGACGGUCACACUGGGACUGAGACACGGCCCAGACUCCUACGGGAGGCAGCAGUGGGGAAUAUUGCACAAUGGGCGAAAGCCUGAUGCAGCGACGCCGCGUGAGGGAUGGAGGCCUUCGGGUUGUGAACCUCUUUCGCCAGUGAAGCAGGCCUGUCCCUUGUGGGUGGGUUGACGGUAGCUGGAUAAGAAGCGCCGGCUAACUACGUG